UGUGGCUCAAUGGUAGAGCAACUGCUUUGCAUGCAGAAGGUCGCAGGUUCGAUCCCUGGCAAAG